rnacentral:ncRNA from 1 species
GUGUUCGUGAAAAGGAGAGAUGGUUAGCAUCUCCCCUGAAAGGGAUGGGAACAGUCUUCGGGCUUUCCUGUUACACACCUCGAUUAAGGCUAUCCACCUCUGUAGAGGUUGGAUUAUAACCCAAAAAAAAAA